GCCACCUUAGCUCAGCUGGUAGAGCAGACGAUUCGUAAUCGUCAGGUCAAGAGUUCGAUCCUCUUAGGUGGCU
rnacentral:tRNA from 1 species